rnacentral:snoRNA from 1 species
AAACCGUGAUGUGGACAUUCUAGGAGAAGGUCUUUGAAACGUUCCAUACAUCAAGAGAAUGAUUCAUUGGGUCGCUGGCAAAACUAUAGAAUGUCGUUCCUAAGUUU